GACGAACGCUGGCGGCGUGCUUAACACAUGCAAGUCGAACGGAAAGGCCCUGCUUUUGUGGGGUGCUCGAGUGGCGAACGGGUGAGUAACACGUGAGUAACCUGCCCUUGACUUUGGGAUAACUUCAGGAAACUGGGGCUAAUACCGGAUAGGAGCUCCUGCUGCAUGGUGGGGGUUGGAAAGUUUCGGCGGUUGGGGAUGGACUCGCGGCUUAUCAGCUUGUUGGUGGGGUAGUGGCUUACCAAGGCUUUGACGGGUAGCCGGCCUGAGAGGGUGACCGGCAAAAUUGGGACGGAGAUACGGCCCAGACUCCAACGGGAGGCAGCAGUGGGGAAUAUGGCACAAUGGGCGGAAGCCUGAUGCAGCAACGCCGCGUGCGGGAUGACGGCCUUCGGGUUGUAAACCGCUUUCGCCUGUGACGAAGCGUGAGUGACGGUAAUGGGUAAAGAAGCACCGGCUAACUACGU
rnacentral:rRNA from 1 species